rnacentral:tRNA from 1 species
GGUUCUAUAGUAUAAUAAAAACGCCAAAUUGCAAAUUUGGAAUUGUGUAACACACUAGAACUU